rnacentral:rRNA from 1 species
AGUCACUGACAUUAGAUACCCGGGUAGUCCCAGCCGUAAACUAUGCGCGUUAGGUGUACUGGUGACCACGAGUCACCGGGGUGCCGAAGGGAAACCGUGAAACGUGCCGCCUGGGGAGUACGUCCGCAAGGAUGAAACUUAAAGGAAUUGGCGGGGGAGCACCGCAACGGGAGGAGCGUGCGGUUUAAUUGGAUUCAACACCGUAAAACUCACCAGGGAAGACUGUUACAUGAAAGCCGAGAUGAAGACUCUGCUAGAUUUUCAG